AUUGGUAAAAUAGGUAACACAUAACAUUUUUAAUUUCUCUAACACAAUGCAAAUACUUCGUUAAUUGUUUAUGAAAAUUUUAGAAUUGGCAAUAAAACUACGAAAUACAAGUUGGAGUCGGAAGUAAUGAGCAGAAAUUUGAAUUGAGAAUUCUUCACUCUCGAUCAAGACAAUGAUCAAAGGAUUGGAUAUAAUUGUGCUGCAGAAAAAAGUGCCUGGUGGCAUACAUCUUGUAGGAACGUAAAUCUUAACGGAAUAUAUUUUCAAAAUGACGGAGACGCUUCUAUGAGUAUGAGCAGGUGGUAUUGCAAAAGUCUCAAAUCUGUCCAGAUGCUGAUCCGACCAAAAUAAAAUUCCACUCUAUUCAAAAAUCAGCGAAAAUCUGGCAGUAAUAUAAAAUCAGAAAAGCAUAUAACUUAACUUUAAGGCACGGAAAACUCAUAAA